UUGGAAGCCUUCUUCUCCCAUACACUUAAACAUUCUUUAAGUUGUGUUUCAGUCGAGAGCAUGUAUGUAUCCCGGCCCCAAACGUUGCCAAUUCCACCACAAUGGCAUACCAUCUGCUGCUGUUCUUCUUUCUUCUCUCUGCCUCAGCCAUUUUCCUUCCCAACGUCUUUCUAUCUUCCUCCCUUACUCUGUUAAGAAGACUAGAUAAACUAUUUAUAGAUACCAGAUGCAAAUUAAGAACCAACUGUCAAAUUUCAAACGUUCAACACUUGACUCUUGUAAAGCAAAAAACGUGAAACGAAAAUUGUCUUUGAAGACUUACCUCUUCUAGUGAGAAUUCAAGUAUGCUUUAUUGCUUCAAGUUUUUGUUUCUGAAAAUGUUUAGUUUGCCUAGUUUACUUGUCCAGUCCAGUCCUUACUAGCCCAUUUGAUUUGAAAUCUUCCCAUACCGGCCCCUAAGCUUAGCAAAUAAUCAUUCUUAAAUUUUAAAUGAACGAUAAAAACAAAAUCAAAUGACCCAAACUCAAGCCGAAUCAUGAAGAACAUGUCAUAAAUUUUAACUACAAAUUCUUGCAACUCAACAACUUAUUUUUUUCCAAUAAAUGGAGAACUUUUACUCCCUUUCUGAGAAUGAAUUCAAUAAUAAAAUUUAAUUUUUAUUUUUCAAACUUGUACUUGAAAAUAAUAGAUUUUACAUAAGGAGAUGCUUAUGAAAUUCCUCUAUUUUGC
rnacentral:lncRNA from 1 species